CCGUAGGUGAACCUGCGGAAGGAUCAUUGC
rnacentral:rRNA from 1 species